GAAAACUAUGAAUGUGAUUAUUCAGUCAGAAAUUCCAUUUGCACAAAAAGAGCAAUCAUUUUUAUUGAUAUAUGCGAGGCAAAGUCAACUGUAGAAGUCUCUUAUCGUCUUUAUCGUUUAAUUGAUAAUAUAUUAUUCGGAGGAUUUGCGCGAAAUAGAUAUUUGUUAAGAAAAAGGAUAAAUGAUUGUUUGUAUCAUAAGACCGUUAAAGUUUGUUUAUAAAAAAUAUUUUAGCCAUCUGUUUUAUGUGGAAAUGGUGUUGUUGAUCGGGGUGAAGAAUGUGAUUGUUCUUUUAGCAAAGAACUUUGCAAUUUUUUUGAACCUGAGUGUAAUUUAAAAACUUGUCUGAAACAUUCAUUAAAGACAUGCAACAAUUUCCC